AGAGUUUGAUCCUGGCUCAGGACGAACGCUGGCGGCGUGCUUCACACAUGCAAGUCGAGCGGAAAGGCCCUUCGGGGUACUCGAGCGGCGAACGGGUGAGUAACACGUGAGUAACCUGCCCCUAGCACCGGGAUAGCUCCGGGAAACCGGAAUUAAUACCGGAUACAACCACGGUCGGCAUCGACCAUGGUGGAAAGGAU
rnacentral:rRNA from 1 species